GUUUGGGUUUGGAUUUGGAUUUGGACCCGCCGCCGAUUUGUUUGGUCUGGAUCCGCCGCCGCCGGCGACGGCUGCGGCGGACCGGAUCCGUUCAGUCUUCGGGGCGCGCCGUCUAGAUCCGCCGCCCCCCCUCUCUCGUUCCCCUCAUCCACAACCCCCUCCGCGCCGUACGUCGCCGUCGCCGCCGACCCCUCGACCGCGCUCCAACUCCACGGCCGCAGCCGCGCCGUACCUCGGCGUCGCCACCGACCCCUCGACCGCGCUACAACGCCACGGCCCCCGCCGCGCCGUACCUCGGCGUCGCCGCCGACUCCUCGACCGCGCUCCGACCCCACGGCCCCCGCUCUCCCUCGCCGGGACAUCGCGUUCCGUGCUGCUGCGACUCCGCCCGGCACCAGUUGCCGGCCGUUGGGCUCUGAGGUCACUCUUGCAAAAGGCGGCCGCCGCCUUGGAUGACGGCAACAACGACCUGUCAGGCAGCUCCACUCGCCCUCCCCCACUGCGGCAAGAGCAGCACCGGCCACAAGGCCGUGCCCUCCAAGUCCAGCAAGGCAGACGGGUUGAGUGAUAUCCCAAAGAACCUCAGGGAGCUGCUCACCACCAGCUUGCUCGAGGGCCAGCCCGUCAACUACAUGAGGAAAGGGAAGUGACCACUACUCCGUGGAGUCAUUAAAGGCUUAGGCAUAUCGUGCUCUUGCACUUCAUGUAAAGGCCGAAAUGUUGUUUCAUCUUUUUAUUUCGAGGUGCCUGCUGGGAGUCAUAAAAAGCGCCCCACUGAUUAUAUUUUCCUGGAAAUUGGAAAUACUCUGCAUGAUGUAUUGAGGGUGUGCACAGGUGCUACCUUAGACACACUGGAAUCUGCAGUACAGGGAGCAAUAGGCCCAGUGCCUAAGAAGAGGACAUUUUUCUGGUUCUUCAUGUUAGCAAUGGCUAUUUCCAUUUAAGUUCCCUUGGCUUCUUCAUUCUUGCUGUGAAGUAAUGACAGAAACAGUUGUUUGAGGGUUGGCCUGUUGAUUGUGUAACCAAUGAUACAUCCAAGUUAUGAGUGGUAUUGGCUCUGAGGGUUGGCAUUUGUGCAGGAAUCAUUUGAUCUAUUAUCCAAGCUACGACCGGGCGAGACCUUAUUCCAGCCAUGGUCUACGGGAGGAGCGUAAGGGAUCAAGAUUAAUAAGGGAUGUACUGAAGCGUAGGAUCUUCUCAGGGCUCCAGAAUUUUGACCGGAGUAAUGUUGCAUCUAUUGUCAUGGCUGCAGAUAAGCGCAGCAGCAAACACAGUAAAGAAGAAAGGCCAGAAAAUUAAUAACCAUCCAGGAAAUUGCAUUGAAAAGGGUCUGACAAAGAAGCAGAAAGUGCACUCCGAAGAGCCUACAGUGCAAUAUGGUUUGAUAGAUGAUCUUGUCAAGUCUGGAAAUGCUAUUUCAGGGCUUGGAGGCUCCUCCAAACAUUAUCAUGUCUGAAAUGGGCAGCCAAGCUCCAGCCUAUAAAGCUUACAUGGGGACUGACUUUUCAAAUCCUAUGGGGACAAUCAACUAUGAAGAGAUGCACUCUGUCGCAAGCCUGGGUUUCACUCUGUUGCCUUCUCAGGAACUAGGCUUUGUCGCCUGUCAUGCUACUCAGGCGUCUAGUGACAUCCAACAAUAUGUCUAAAAUAAAUUAUACAGUGAUAUGUAGUUACCUCUUGACCCUGCCAUGUUUAUUUCCUUCUUUUGCGUAAAGGCCUAGUAGAAAUCUGAAAGCUCUCUCUUCGGAGCACAAUGAAUGAGAAUGGAAAUCCGUAUAAGGCAAUGAGAAGCUGUAUAUGGAGCACAAUCCAUGGGACUGAAGGCUUCUUAUGAUGUCUACACAUUGUCCAUCAACUGUAUAUGGCAAUUAGAAGCUGCACAGAUGGGCUUAUACUUAAUUGGUUAGUGGUGAGUGGAUUUAGAUUUCAACAAGGGUUGACUUUGACUUCAUAGCUUGUGCAUGCUAGAGGAAAGUGUGAUCGCUUGGACAUCAUAAGCAAUUCGUGAUGUUGAGGAUCUUGUAGAGGAUUUCAGCCGGCUGCGAUGGAUAAAUUUUUCUUGAUUGAAGAGGAAAGUGGAUUCCAAUAUUUUUGAAGCAAAAUGAGUGAAGUUGGUUGAGGAUUGGAGAUGGCGUGUAACCUACUUACACAUGGAUGGGACUGUUGGAAUUGAGGGCACUACAUGUACAUAUGUAUGGAAUGUACUAAAUGCUAAAAAAAGAAAGAAAGAUUAUGCACCUUUUGCAUGCAUCAAAUCCACGGCCAACCUGCGUAGAAUAUAUUCCAUCUGUCGAUCUGUCUGUUCCGUCGUCGUACUAGCAAUUAACAGAUCGAUCGAGGGGGAAAGGGUGAAGGAAGCUUAAUUUGGACGACUGAUCGGCCGCAAAACAGAUAUAUGUAGAUGGAGCACUCGGCCAAAAGAUGCAUGCAUGGAUCCAUACUUCAUUGUGAGAAAUGAACACCCGAUUAUGUAAAGGUUUUACAAGGAUGAUCAAAUUCUUCGUUCUCCUGGGAGGGGAGGCUUUUCUUGAGCUUUGGGCUAGGUAGCUAGCCCAGGCAGCAUCGAGACCGGAGAGCAGAGAGCUUCCAAGGUGGAUGUGGGGCUCGCAGCAACCUGAACGCCAUGCUUGCGAAAGAGCAGGGGUUCGUCAAUUGGCAUCACCCUCACUCCAUUUGCUCUGUUCUCCCCACCAGCCUCUGAAGAUGCUGGCAGAACAGAUGUGUUUGUUCCAUGAUGUAUUCGUUGAAGAUCAGGUGCCAUCUUCUGAUUGUUCUUAAAGUCAGCGACCAAAUCUGUUUCAAUGACAGCCAAACGACACCAUUAAACACCAUGCCAUUCAUGUGCUUCCACAGAGCCCAGAGGGUGGCAACUACAAUGGUAUUAAAUGAGUCAAGUUCUUCCCAGCAACCCAACAGGAAGAAAUAGAUUCUACACUAGUGCCCACUGGUCUGGAGAAUAAAUGGCUAAAGUUCUCCCAAACCAGCUUGGCCACCAUUCAAUCAAAGAAAAGGUGCUGUACACUUUCAUUUCCAGCACAGAAAACACAUCCCAAUGGUUUGUUCAUCAUUCUUUUCUGCAAAUUAUCUCCAGUCAUGAUUUUAUUGUAUGAAACUAACCAGAGGAAUAUAUGUAUCCUGGGGGGAACAGCCAGUUUCCAAACAGCAGGGAUAAACACAGGUGUACUCCCCUAUAAUUGAUGAUAGCAUACAGUGAACUAAUAGUGUAGGUGCCUGAAGCUGUAUACUGCCAAAUGAGUGUAUCAGUAUCUUCAGAAUAUGAGAUGCUCCUACCAAUAGCUUCAAGCUCAUACCAAGAGUUCAUCAGGGUGGGAGGGGGGGUUCUUCUAAAAGUGAGUUCCAAACUCUCUCCAUCCCAGAUUUGACUAACUGUUUUACCCUGCUCUCAACAAAUCACAUAAAGCUCCCAGAAUUGAAUUGAGAGAGGGGCUGUGCCAAACCAGCAGUCUUCCCGAAACCUUAUUUGUUUGCCAUCCCCAAGAGACCACCUAUAACCAAAUUUAACAGCCUUAGAGGCCCAUAUCACUCCUUUCCAAAAGGUAGAGGCCUCAGAGUUCUGGUUCCAGAAGAUAUUGCGGAUAGGGCUAUACUUAUUAUCUAUAAUUGUUUUCCAAAUCUUACCUUCACUACUAGUAUAUCUCUUAAUCCAUGCCCCCAAAAGGCAGAUGUUGAGGUCCUGGGUAUUAGGAAUACUCAGUCCUCCAAAUUCUUUCCUCAUAGACACCGAAGGACAAUUGGCUAGAUGGAUCUUUCCGGCACAGAACGUAGGACAUGAUCAAGAAGAAUGACCCACAUUUGUUUUGAUCUUUAUAAUGUCUUAACUGGAUCUGACUUCUGCAAUAGAAAAGUAUAUGUUUCUUACGAGGUAAUGGAAACUAAUGAGAAAUCAGAAUUAUCCAGAUGGGUUUGAUUGCAUCUCCUCUGACUAAUGUAUGCAAUUUUACCGUGUUUUCAUGGAUGGAAUUUGCCAUGACUGUCAAACAUAAUGUGUGCAAGUACAAAAUAUAGUAGACUUGCAUGUACUGGUUACCAAUUUGAUUGAGAGGUACUAAGCUUAGCAAUGCAAAUAUGUAGUGUUUGUGUCACCGACUCAGUCAUAGAA